UAAUGUAUCAACUCUUCGGAAAACAUUGGCAGAAAUUGACGCAGAGGGGGAGCUUCUACCAGAUGGAACACUUGCUGUGUAUGUAGCCUUAUUAGCUGUGGAAAGUUCAUUAUACUAAUCUAGAUUUGUGGAUCUAGCAUGUUAUAUCUUUGACUUUAGUGUCAUGAAAUGCCUUUAACUUGCAGGGGUGGCCAAGCAAUUGUAGUUGUGUUACGCACCAAAUGAUUAUCCUACUGAAUCUGUAAGCAAGUCUUACUUUCCUGCUACUCAAAUACUGAUUCUUUUUUAAGAAGAAUGUGACAUUCUUCCCUUGUAGUGGUGAGCUUCUGUUGUUCGGUAGCAGAAAAUGUAGUUACUUAUCCACAAAAAGGGUACAAAGUAGAAGAGUAAAUCCCAAGUCCAUAAAGGCAUAUGUAGAUCUGUUCUAUAUCUGUUGGGGUGACUUUGGUGGGCUAAUCCUGCAUGUGUGUAUGAUUGGGCAUGAGUGGAGAGCAAGGCUACUCAUGGAUUUGAGUUAUUCAAAUAGAUCCUAUCAUAUGUGGCGCCAAUGGGUAAUGGGUAACCCAUUGCCCAUUGCCCAUCCCUACCUGCUUUACAAGUGGCGCCACAACACAGGGACAAGUAUGAUUUGAUGGAAGUGUAAUUUUCAAAAUUCAUACAAAUGACAAAAAAACGCUGGUCUCUUUGCAUUGCAGGCUCCAAGUAGCAAGGAAUUCUUCAUGGGGUCUUGGACACACCCAAUCUGCAAUCUGGGUUUGAUUUACUUUUAAUGACCUUGAACUCUCUCCAAUCACAAAUUAUGUUAUACCUUCUAUAUGAUAGAAUUUUACCACUCAUCUUUAGGACUGUAUUACUAAAUGGACAAUGCGGACUUUCGUGAUCUGCAGAGAUUUGUAUCUGUGGUCUUCUUCUUUUGUGUGUCUCUGUGAAUGCUCAAACGUCCGGUUUCAUAUGUGAUAUCAAACCUUAGUUGAUUGCAUAACAUGAAUUCAUAGUAAUAUAUUUUAUUAAUUUCCUAACAUGAUUUUGAGAAGUCAUGGGUUAUGAGAAGACUGUCUUUUGCAGCACUGUAUUAAUUCAUAGUUGUAGAGCAGAGAGUCACUGCACCAUGAUGUCAUGGGUUAUCCGUUUUCCUUUAUUAUUUUUCCUUUUUUAACAUUGUCAGACUUGUAAACUGACUUUGCCCUUGCAGGGAUAUGUGAGUUGCAGAAUCAUGGUCAUAUCCUCAGUUUGAUGUCAAAUUUCUUCAAAUAGAAUUAAAGGUUGCUGGGCGAUU